CGGAACGACGCAGACGCAGAAGCAUGCGCCAGCCUUUACUGUGCAUCGAUAGGCUUUUCUUUCUCUCCUUUAUUGCGGGGAUUGAUCAUGGGAUCACGACGACUUAUUUCUUGGUGGCACAAAAGCUGUUGUGCUGUGGGCGCCCUACCUCGCGGGGUAGGCCAAGGGGUCCCAGGGGAGAGGCGGACGACAAGCAGGAUCACGGUGAAGUUAACAAAGGUUUAUUAUCAAUAAUUCAACCGGGGAAGGGGAAAAGGGAGAGGAAAAACGGUAACUCAAAAAACUCUUCACCGGGGUGGCCAGGGACAUCAGGAGGCUUCGCCAGAUUACUCCUGGUGCAGAAGAAAGAGAAUAUAUUUCGUUAGAACCGUCUCGUUUGAGGAACAUCCCCUGGGUCUCACCCUCCUCGCGUUCCUGCUGUCUCGCUCGCUUUCUCCUCCGUGUCUUCUUCUUCUUCUUCUUCUUCUUUUCGUUUACUGGCAGAUCGCAACCAACUUAAAGGUGCAUAUACCGCCACCUACUGCACUGGAGUGUGAGGCUGGUCACGGACAAGUUUCCUGAGUGAAAUAGGCGGGCCACCAUUGGCCUUUCACUCUGCCAACGACUUCCGGUUGCGUCUGCAAAGCACUUCCAGUUAGCGAGUUAGCGUCUUUUACUGUCUUUGGUUAGUGUGCAGAAAAAGUAAACUAUGGAUGGUGUUACACGCCGACACGGCUCCGGGACAUAUUGUGCUGUUCACGGUUGCAACAACUCGUGGCGAUUGCUGAAUGUUUGGUCGGAAAGAGAAUGUUUCGACCAUCGACCAUCUACAAGGCGCCAAUGUGGAUGUGCUCCCCCGUAUGCGUUGUAUGAGAAACCUAAAACAGAUGUUGAAUCUCGGAAGUGGCUAGCGGCUUUGAAGUUGAAGAAUCCGCCCAAAAGACUGUUUGUUUGUUCUUAUCACUUCAUUGAUAAAAAGCCCACAGAGGAAAACCCUUUCCCGGAACUUUGGUUGGGAUACGAGCGACCUCCCCAGCAAAAGAGACGUAAACUCGACAGAAACACAAGUAACACGCAAUCGGAUGAAGAGCCGAAGUUUAAAGAUGCUGCAAUACAAUGGGACCACAGCUACGCGGCAAAGUUGGACCACGUGAACAAAUCGACGCAGACUGAGGGUCAGACUGUGGCUGAUGAUAUGCUCCUGGAUGAUGAUACCUCGCUGCUGUACACAGGACUGCGUCUAUUAUAUUUUUUUACUUUGGUGAAAACGAUGUUGCCAUUUAGUAAACCAUCAUGUAGUAUUCCUGUUGUUGACCAAAUACUGAUGACCCUCAUGAAACUGAAACUGAACCUUGUGUUAGGGGAUGUGGCAAAGCGCUUUAAAGUGUCUAAAGGUGAAGUAAGUAAGGUGAUUGCUCACUGGAUUGAUACAUAGGGUGAGCAGCUUGAACCCAUGGUUGCCUGGCUGCCAAGAAGUGUUAUUCGUGCUAACAUGCCACCAUCCUUUAAAAAGAACCACCCCCAGACCACUUGCAUCAUCGAUUGUGCUGAAACGGCUAUUCAGGGAGCUACAAACCUUAACUGUAGGGGUGCCACUUUCAGUCAUUACAAGGCAACCAAUACUGCCAAAUAUCUUGUUGCUGUGUCACCUCAUGGGCUGAUAAUGUUUAUAUCAGAGGCCUAUGCUGGUAAAAGCAGUGACAAGUUCAUCACUAUAAACAGUGGGUUUCUGGAGGCCCUAAGGCCUGGUGAUGAGGUAAUGGCUGACAGGGGUUUCACGAUUCGAGAUGUACUACAUGAAAGGAAGGUGAAAUUAAAUAUUCCUGCCUUUACCUACAAGUGUGGUCAAUUGACCAAUGAGCAGGUAACGCGCACUAGACGAGUGGCCAAUGUCCGUAUACAUGUGGAGAGGGCAAUCCGAAGACUUAAAGUCUUCAAAAUUCUGUCCCAAACUGUCCCCAUCUCCAUGACCCCGAGGUUGGACAAGAUUCUUAUCAUAUGUGCUGCUUUAGAAAACAUGAGGUCCAGACUCAUCCGACUGCCACAUGAGGUGUAAGUCCCUAUGAAAAGUAAAACCUGGGUUACCUGCAGUUUUUUAUUUUUUUUAUUGUACAUAUUCCUUUUAUAUAUGGUAACACUUUAUUUUAAGGAUCAGAAAUUAGACACUAAUUAAUGACUAAUAACUGCAUUUGUAAGUAACUAGUUAUACUUGUGUGCCAUUACAAGCUAUUUAUAAGGCCUUUAUUGGCUGUUGUCUUUGUUUUGUCUUAUAGCCCCUUUAUAUUUGUCUCUGUCCUAACAAUCUACUAAUUAGAUAAAAAAUAAAUCAAACUAAUAGCUUGUACUGUGCCAAUUACAUACUUUGCAAAUUUAAAUGUCUGUUGAAAUGCCCAUUCUAUAUUUAUUUCAUACUUAUGAGCUACAACAGCCAAUAAAGGGCUUGUAAAUAGCUUGUAUCGGCAUACAAGUACAACUAGUUACUUACAAAUGCAGUUAUUAGUCAUUAAUUAGUGUAAUUUCUGAUCCUUAAAAUAAAGUGUUACCAUAUAUAUAUACUGUAUAUAUAUAUAUAUUAUAUAUAAAUACAUUUCAGCUAGAAAAACCUGUGUAAAUUUAUUGUUAUUGUUCCCUUUCUGGUGUUGUGAUUAUUGAUAAGCCAAAACAGAGUUUUAACUAAGAAAAACUUGUGUGAGUGCUAUUCUUUUUCUUGUAUUGUAAAUAUUGACACAUGACAAUAAACAAUUUGAUUUUUGAGAAGAAA